UCCCAGGUGGUCUAGUGGUUAGGAUUCGUGGCUCUCACCCACGCGGCCCGGGUUCGAU
rnacentral:tRNA from 1 species